GAGGGUAUAGCUCAGUGGUAGAGUGUGUGCUUAGCAUGUAUGAGGUCCUGGGUUCAAUCCCCAGGACCUCCA
rfam:Camelus ferus unplaced genomic scaffold scaffold91, whole genome shotgun sequence.